AGUCAAUAGAUACCCGGGUAGUCCACGCCGUAAACGAUGAGUACUAGGUGUAGGAGGUAUCGACUCCUUCUGUGCCGCAGUUAAACACAAUAAGUACUCCGCCUGGGAAGUACGGUCGCAAGAUUAAAACUCAAAGGAAUUGACGGGGGCCCGCACAAGCAGCGGAGCAUGUGGUUUAAUUCGAAGCAACGCGAAGAACCUUACCUAGACUUGACAUCUCCUGAAUAGUGUAGAGAUACAUGAAGCCCUUCGGGGCAGGAAGACAGGUGGUGCAUGGUUGUCGUCAGCUCGUGUCGUGAGAUGUUGGGUUAAGUCCCGCAACGAGCGCAACCCUUAUUACUAGUUGCUACCAUUAAGUUGAGCACUCUAGUGAGACUGCCCGGGUUAACCGGGACGGAAGGCGGGGAGUGACGUCAAAUCAUCAUGCCCCUUACUGUCUAGGCGAACACACGUGCUACAAUGUGAGUACAGAUAGAUGCGAUACGCAAGGUGGAGGCCAAACUCUAAAACUACAU
rnacentral:rRNA from 1 species